AAGAAUGCAGGAAAUGGUAUAAUUAUACCUCCCAUAAGUUUUGUAGUGUAUUAUUUUUUAAUGAAAUGCAAUUCAGACUGCACAGUUUCAUUUCUUUCCGGCAUUCUUCUUAGUUUUUCUUUCUCUAUACUCUGUUGCACUGAUAGGGAGGCAUGUAGGCAUUUCUCUCAACAUACUACUUUCAUGAAUUUAAAAAAGACUUACUUAAGUCAAAUACUUAUUAAAAUAUUUUGCAUGUAAUAGAAAUUGUCUAGGUCAGAAAUCGACAUUAUAGAAAACUGACUAAAGCCUUUCCAUGUUUUUCUGCUUCUCCAAAUGUCAACAAAUGGACUUCAAUUCCUGUUUCAGGUAUUAGAAACUUCCUAGAUGAAGUAUCAGUAUAAGCUAGGUGUAACAUAAGCCUUUUUCUCAAAAGUUUGGGGAUUAGCUUUGUUUAAGAGUUUCCUGGAGAAGUAAACUCAUUCCAUCUAAAUACGAACAAGUAGCAAUAACUCUCAUUCAGACAGAAACAAACAGGGACACUGUCACUAUCAUGUUAAAUUUACUCUACACCUCUUAAAAACAAACAAGAAAUAACAGUGAUUAAUUGUUUCACGUACAUACUUUAGGGAGUUAUUUUUGUAUUUGAAUGUCUGUUGAUGAUUAUUAACUUUAUAAUGAAAAAAUGAGAAAAAAAAACCAGUUCAAAUGUCAAUCAGUUGAUAACCUUCAUGAAUACCCUCUGUGUCUUGGCUUUUAGCAAGCAGUGCCUGAAUUUCCUACUGAAGUUAAUGAGGAGAUGUCUCUAACUUAGAAUCUAUCUGGAAGUCACAGUACAAUUCUCACUUUUUUCCUGUAUAUACAUAGCACCUCCAUAAUAGGUUUUCCCGGGACACUAAAAUAAUGGUUAACUUUUCUUUUGAACAAUAAGGAAAACGUACAGAUAUGGUGCAGAACUCAUUUUCAUUUAGAGUCACAGAAAUCCAAUUCUACAUGACAAGAAGAUAGUAAGCCAGUCUUCUUUCUCUGGGCAGGGGGAGAGUUAACUCUGACAAAUGAUGUGCUAAAUUUAGAGUCAUUUUUGCAUGUGGUUACAUGUCUAGUUUGAACUAGUCUGCCCAAACUCAUUUUACUUAUGACCCUUUACAACUAGCAGAGAAAGAGGUUCAUUGUUUUCUUUGUAUUAGAGAGAUUAAGAACACAGUCUCUGCAGCUGAAAAGACAAGGGCCUCAAAUGAAGGAUUUUUAGUUCUGGGGGGAAAAAAUGUGUUGACUUUACCUCUAUAAUGGUCAUCUUUGAAACAUACUUGAAAAGUGGCAUCUCUUUCAGGAGGAGCAAUGUGAGAUUCAAGCUCACAUACAACAAUUUACAAUGGUUUUUUCAAAUUCCAGCUCUUCCAUUAACCUCUGGUGUGACCUUAGGCAAGUUUACCUUCCCAAAUUUGAGCCUCAAUUUCUUAAUCUAUACAAUGAUGGUGGUGGGGGGGAAGAAAUAUAUUUUGGUGACAUCGGUGGUAUAAAGAUGGCUGGGUGGUAUGAUGGAUAGAGAGUGCUGGGACCAGAGUCAAGAAGACCUGUGUGACUCUGGGCAAGCCACUUUACUUCUGUCUGCUUUGGUUUCUUCAGUAAUAAAAUGGGAAUAAUAACAAUAGCACUUAUCUUUCAGGAUUGCAGUGAAGAUCAAAUGUAAAAAUAUUUGUAAAGUGAUCAGCAAAGUAUCUAGCAAUUAGUAGGUACUUAAUAAAUCCUUCCUUAUUUCUUCUCUUAUUAUGCUUCUAUGUCCAAGAUUCUCUGACUCUCACUUUUGUUAGGGGAACAUAAUUCAGAUGCUUUCCUAGAAUCAUGUGUCUAGAGCUGGAAAGAAACUCCAAAGCCAUCUAACCAAAGUGGAUAAGGAAAUGAAGCCUAAAGUCAUUGAAAAACUUCCCAAGGAUAUGCAGGGGAGUAUGCAUCAGAGGUAGAAUUCAAAUCCGGGUCUCUGUCUAUCAAGACUGCUUUUCCCACUUCUGUUACUGCCUUCUUAACUCUCGAUGGAUGUUCAGAAAAGAUACUCUUUCCAUGGCAUGGGUUCUAUUUUCCUUGAAAAUAUAGGAGUCAGUUCUUUCUUCACACUUCUAGGUAAAUGAUAUGCUUUUCAGAUCUAAGAAGUAAACAGUCUUGCUUUAUGUAGGUCUUAAAAAUAGUACCAUGGGUGGGGCCAGGCAAGAGGAUAAGUUCUGCUAUUUCAACUAGACACAGCUUUUUCAGGGGGCUGACCAGGGAAGACCCCACGUUUUUUAAAGGCAACAAACAUGUAGAAGCCAGUUUCUUUGUUGUUUUCUUCUGUUCUGUGUGUGCAUGUGUGCGUUUGUGUGUGUUUUUCAAAAGACUACUUGGGCAUCAAACAGCUCCUACAAUCCAACAUUUUAACGUGUUAAGUGUAAAUGAAUCACAAACAUAUGGAUUAAAUUUCCCUUAAUAGGCAUGUGGGCUUAAAAAUUAAGGGCAAAAGUACUUGGCAAAAUGUAGUUGGGGUUUUAUCAACUCCAAAGUGUGUUUUAAAGAAGUGUUCAAGAAAUGCAGCACACUUAGGUUAUAACCAAGUUAAAGGCCUGGUAUACCGAAAGUGUAGCCUCCCUUUUCAGAGGAAAGUGUGUACCAAGUUAUCAAGGAAUUGUCCUACCAAGUAAUGAAAUCUCUCUUGCCAUGUAUAAUAAUAGCCAACAUUUAUAUAAACUUACUACUCAUUAGACACUAUGCUAAGCACUUUACAAUUAUUAUCUCAUUUAAUCCACAUAACUCUGGGAGUUAGGGUGUUAAUAUUAUGCCCAUUUUACAGACAAGAAAACUAAGGCAAACAGAGGUAUACACAACUGUGGGCAUAAUAAGUUCCUGUUCUUCUAAUUUGCUUAUGGUCAUGCCUAAUCCCACUAUCAGGUUUGUUUCUUAAGGUAAUUAAGGAAAAGGAAAAAGAACCUAUCUGUUCUAAAAUCUGUAUAACAGCUCUCUUUGUGAUGGCAAAGACUGGUAAUUGCUGGGAUGCUCAUCAAGUGGGGAAUGGCGAAACAAGUUGUGGUAUGUGAGUAUGAUGGAAUACUAUUAUGCCAUAAGAAAUGAUGUAGCAAAUUUUGGAAAAAACAUGGAAAGAUCAACAUGAAUUUAUAAAGACUAAAAGGAGCAGGGCCAAGAGAACAUCAUAUAGAGUGACAGAAAUAUUGUUUGAAGAAUGAUUUAUUUCUACCUCCAGAGAAAGCACUGAUGAAUAAAAAUAAGUAAGUCCAUUUUUAAGUAAGAUGUAGCUUUUUGUCAAACAAUACUUUCUCUAUCGGGGGAUGUGAGGGAGGGAGGGAGUUACCUGAGUAUUUUAAUGCAACAAACAAAUUAAUUAAAAGAAAAUAAAGAAUCUGAAGCCUAGAUAGGUUGUGACUUUAAAAAGAGGGGUUGAGGAAGAUCUCCUGUAGAAGGUGAGAUUUUGGCUAACUUAAAGGAAGCCAGGGAUAUCAUUAGUCAAAGUGGAGAAGGGAGAGUAUUUCAGGCAUGGGGAACAUCCAGAGAUAAUACUCAGAGCUGAGAGUUGGUGUGUAAUUUUAUGGAAGAACCAGAAGGCCAGUGUCACUGGAUCAAAAAGUACAUCUCAAAGAGUAAUUUUUUGUUGAAUUGGAUUGGAAGUGGAGUGUCAUUCAAUUCCUAGAAGGGAAGGGAAGAAUUAAGAGUAGACAGAUAGGAAGGGGACAGAUAGGGAAUAACUUUAAAUGUCCUACAGAGUAUCCUAGAAGCACAUUGAGUGGGGAGGGAAGGGGGAAGUCAGCAAGAGUCAGACCUACCUAGGUUUUAGGAAGAUCACUUUAGCAAGAGUGGAGGAUGGAUUGGAGCAGAGAGAGAGAGUGUAGAGUCUAAUUAGAAGGCUAUUGCAAUAAUCUAGAUAAGAAGCCAGGAAGAAGCACUUGAACAAAGUUGGUGGCUUAGUGAUAAAUUAGAGACCAAUGUCAAAAAAUGUAGAGAAAGAAAUUAUAAGAUUUAGCAAUUGAUUAGACAUGUGGGGUGAGCAAGAGAUAUCAAGAUAUCUGGAUGACUGAAAGGAUGGUGGCACCCUCAAUAGUAACAGGAAAGUUUGGAAGAGAGGUGACUUUUUUGGUGGGUGGAGAAGAUUAUGAGUUUAGUUCUAGAUAUGUUGAGUAUGAGAUUCAUAUAAAAAAAUUAUGACACUGACCAAUGCUUUCCAAAUAUCCAAACUGGCAGUUGGUAAUGUAGAACCAAAGCUCAGAAGAGAGAAUUUUGCUGUCAUUCCAUCAUUCAGUUCUGUCUGACUCUUCCUGACUCUAUGGACCAACUGUCUGAUGCUUUUCUGAGCAAAGAUACUGGACUGGUUUGCUAUUUCCUUCUUCAGUUUUACACAGAUAGACUUUAAGUGAUUUGCCCAAGGUCACAGAGCUAGUAAGUCUCUGAGGUCAUAUUUGAACCCUGACUCCAGGCCCAGUGCUCUCUCUGUUGUGCCACCUAGCUGCUCCAGAAGAGACAUGAUUGGAUAAACAGAUUAGGAAAUCAUCAUGAUGGAGAUAAUAAUGAACUUAACGGAGUUGAUAAGAUUACCAAGUGGGAAAGUAUAAAGAAAAAAGAGAAGGCAGCCUAGGAUGGAGCCUUGGACAAUUCUCAGAGUGGGCAUAACAUGUUUGAUGAGUCAGCAAAGAAGGCGGAGGAAUGGUCUGAAAGAAAGGAGAAAAAUCAGUGGAGAGCAGUGUCACAGAAAUGCAAAGAAGAGAGCCAGUAUCUAGAAGAAAGUUGUUUGUCUUACAUUUUCAAAGAAGAUCAGUGACAUGAUGAAGUGAUGUCUUAACUUGCAUGUGAAUUGGAUUAAAAUGAGGCAGAAUUGCACAAAGUCAUCAGACUCACUCUCUCUCCCAGUCAUCAAAAUCCUGUGGCAAGACAAAAGUCAGGAUGACCAGUGAUGGCUAGGGACUCACUGGAUAGUCUUGGUAUCUUAGAUAGCAACUUCUUGCUUUAGUCUCCUUCACGACUGUAGGAACAAAUUGUUCUCAUCUGUCCAUUCCACUAGGAGAGUUCUUAAAUUGCUUCAUGUGAAUACCCUAUUAACUCUACUUGUCAGUUACCUUCAGCCUGGUUUAACCUGUUGGCUGAGAUGGUUUUACUGGGGUGUGGCUACUAUGCCUGGUACAGCUUCUUAGAGCCUCAGGUGAGAGAGAGGUGCUAGGUGAACUGCAAAAGUGGAUGAGCAGCAGCCCUGAAAAGGGCUUCAAAAGCCCUCAUAUCAAAGGUGCUACUCUCCCUUGAAAACCCACACACUCCCAAAGUCAACUGUCAAUAGUCAAAUGCUUCAGAGAUAACAUUAAGUUUGGAGAUUAAGAGAGAACUGGUAACUUGGAAAACUGGUUCAGUUCAAUGAUAAGGUUGCAAACCAGAUUUUAGAAAAGGAAAGUGAGAAUAGAAGAAGCAGAGGCACCAAGUGUGAAGACUGAAUCAAACUUUUUGUCUAUCAAUCAGAAAUUUUUAAGUUAAUCAACUAAAAACUUAAACACUCCUAUUUAAAACUAAGUAAGGGAGUUUCCAAGUCACUUGCUAAAAUGAGUGACAACUCCAGAGGCCACAGACCACCCCCUGGGCAGUGUUAAGCAAAUUGAAAGACUGCAAUUAGUUUCUAUAAAGUGGAAGUAAUGUGGAAAAAGGACCAUAAAAUGUCCUGAACUUCCUGUCGGAGGAGCUUAUCCUGGUGACUUGGAUUUUGAGGUGACUUUAGGCUUGACCUUUGGCUUGGACCUUGACUUUGGCUCUUGGACUGAUUAUUGAAGGACUGCUCCUGGAUUUUCUUCUUUGGACUUCAUCUUGGGUUUCCUGCAAGGCAUGGGCUUCCUGGGUGGCAUUUAUGCCUAAGAAUUCAGUGGUUUCCCUUCUAAAUACCACAGCUGUAAGCUCUUUAGUCAGAUUCUCUCCCUCCCCUCCAAAAAAAAUGCAUUUUUGUUUAUUCUUGGCUACUGUUAAAAUUAUUUCCUCUCAGGCUAUCAACUGAAAACUAUACUUAACUUAUUAUUUUCCCUUUUGUUAAGAACUUUGAGAAGUUCAGGAAAGAUAGGUUAGAAACUGAGUCAUAGAAAAAGGGGAAGGGGGUAGCAAGGGAAGUUAAAUAAGGGUGAGGAUUAAGGGCACUGAUUAAAAGCAAAACACUGGUGUAGAAGGAAAUAGUGAAAGAAGAAAAGGCAGGACUAGGAGAGGAAAUCAAAAUGAUAGGUAAUACACAGAUGGUAAUCAAAACUCUGAAUGUGAAUGGGAUGAAAAUCACCCAUAAAACAUAAGCAAAUAGCAGAGUGGAUUAAAAAACAAAAUCCUUCCAUAUGUUCUCUACAAACAAACAAACAAACACAUGAGGCAGGUAGAUACACACAGAGUAAAGAUAAAAGGCUGGAGCAAAAUCUAUUGGGCAUCAAC